GUGCGUUUUAUUUGUCCUGUGAAAACAAAAGUCAAAAUGAUUUAAUCAGGAACAUUUCUGUAGCAAAGUAGAAGUUGCUUCAUCAUGAAUCUUUUUAACUUGCAAAAUUGAGUUUGUAUAACUUAAAAUGUUUGAUGUUAUACUAAAAUAAAUAACUUAUUGCAUUACUUGGACUCCCAGAUUCUGCAGAAGAGGUGAGAGACCUUUCAGAAGCUUGUUUAUGGCUACAAAAGGAUUGGUGGAACAAGACUCUAUUUGUUCUUGAAGUUUGGAGGAUCAUCUCUGCAACCAGCAGGAUCAACAACUACACCUCCUCGCCGUUGGGCGUCAGAAGAACGGGACCGACAGCUUCUACAUCACCAUGGAUUAGCAUCUCAUUUCAUACCAGGCAAACCUUCAGUCCAUUUGAUGAACAUUGUAAAGCACAUUUUGCCUUUAAUUUGUAUGAUUUAUAUGACAAUAAGAUUGUGCAUUGUUUUAUACACGAAAAAUGUAAAAUAACUGUUGUUUUAGAAAAUGAUUGAGAUAAUUAAUAUUGACAUUUUUUCAGUGUAGAUUUUACACUUAACGGAGGUAAAAUUAACUCGUAAAAGUAAAAAAUGUAACUGAGAGCAGUGUUCUGUUGUUCAGUCUCUAACUGUGGAGAGUGUGGAGCUCUAUAAACCCUGGAAAAGUUCAACACUGGGCAACACUUGCUGUGAACGUAACUCGUCGUUUCCCCCAGAUCUAUAAAGUCCAAAGAUCAAUAAAGUCCAAAGAUCAAUAAAGUUCAAAGAUCAAUAAAGUCCAAAGAUCAAUAAAGUUCAAAGAUCAAUAAAGUUUAAAGAUCAAUAAAGUCCAAAGAUCAGUAAAGUUUAAAGAUCAAUAAAGUCCAAAGAUCAAUAAAGUCCAAAGAUCAGUAAAGUUUAAAGAUCAAUAAAGUCCAAAGAUCAAUAAAGUGGGAGUCAAACUGAAAGUGUUUAUUUUACUGAGCAGCAGCUGUUUCUCUUUAAGAGCGGGAAAACCUGACAGCACUGAAAUAGACCCGCGGGUCGGGACCCCUCAGUGGGUCCCCAGACGAUGGACUGAUGGACCAUCAGGAAGCUCCACUGACACCGGAUCUUAAUAUCUGUGUUUAGUGAAGGUCUUAAAGAGCCGACAGUUCUGUUGGUUCCAUAAGGUGAGGAAGGUUUCAGCCUCCUCAUCGCUGCACUGUAAAACUACACUGUAAACUACACUGUAAAACUACACUGUAAACUACACUG